rnacentral:rRNA from 1 species
AGGGUGUAAACGCUGCAGACUUGGUGUUGGAGGCCCUUUGGGGGGCAUUCAGUGCCGGAGAGAAGUUGUUAAGUCUGCUACUUGGGGAGUACGUCCGCAAGGAUGAAACUUAAAGGAAUUGGCGGGGGAGCACCGCAACGGGAGGAGCGUGCGGUUUAAUUGGAUUCAACACCGUAAACUCACCAGGGAAGACUGUUACAUGAAGGCCGAGAUGAAGACUCUGCUAGAUUUUCAGAGAGGUGGUGCAUGGCGUCAGUGACU